AAUAUGUCUAGUUAUUCUCUUGGUCAAUAUUUAAAGUAAGAGGGUAAGAGCUUUGUCUAGAAACUCAACCUCUCAUAUUUUUCCUUGUUGUCAACCAACCAUCUCUCAGCCCCUUAUCCUUUCUUGAUUUCUUUCUAUCUCUUCCUAUACAAAGUUCUUCACUUAGUCCCACUCCUGCACUAUACUGCACAAAUAAAAAUCCUUCCAUUGCUUCAAUAAGGUGGUGAGUCUGAAAAUUUUAUAAUGGCAGCAUCAGCAACACUAUGUCCAGCAAAAUUCACCGCCAUCUCCGCGGCGGUAGCGUGCCCGACAAGGGCAUCCCAGAAGAGGCCUAAUGUGAAGUACAUUAGUGGGUUGAACUCAUUUGGUGGACUAAAGGCUCAGAACAGUGUGGUGUCAUUAGGCCUGCCUGUUUGCACUGAGCAAUCUUUCGCAAACUUUGCGAGCUCAUUGAAGUAUCCAAACCAAAGGAAUGGAGGUGGAGGAGCACUAACCUCAACAUGCAAUGCAGUGGCUGAGAUUUUCAGGAUUGCUGCAGUUAUAAAUGGCUUGACACUUGUGGGGGUUGCAGUGGGAUUUGUUCUUCUUCGAAUCGAAGCAGCUGUGGAGGAAGCUGAGUGAUUUAAACGUUCAAGAAAUAUCUAGUAUAUUCUAUUAUCUAUAUCAAACUGUAUCUUUUGCUCAUUUUGUGUAGAGUUGAAUGAAUUUGGUUAUAUUGGUUUCUAUUUGGAAACAGAACUGGAUACAAUUUAUAAUAACAAUAUCAGCCCUCUCUCAAUCUCAUUUUAAUCAAGUACAUGUACAUGGCUUCCAGUCAACACACUUGAAAUAAUAAUGAUAAAUUCCACAGUUUUUGUGCAUUUAAAGAUUUCACUAGAUUACGAUGACAACUGUUGCAAACAAAGCACUCUGUGAUUUGCUGAUAUUAUUUGCAACCUGAGAAUGAAGGAGAAAUGGUUUCAUUGCCGCCUAAGAUGGUGGUUCCUCCAACCUGGUGAACGAAGAAAGUUUCUUCGUGGACUUGACCUAAGAUUAUGAGUGUUAAUCCGCUGAAAAGAGAAGAAAGUAGUGGAAAUACAACUAUAUGAUCACUGAUAGUAUAUGCUUACCUACUUCAUCUUCAUCUGAAAUAUUUGGAUGAUAAACAAUUGAAUUAAGCAAUCAAUCCGCUGUUAGGAUAACAAUAAUGCCGCAAAUAUAUUCCCUUGUUUCAUUAAAAUGCAUUAUAUUAUGCUCUUGAAAUCAAUUGAUACAACACUUGGAGCCAUGGUUGAUCAAUAUGGGCCAAUCUUCUCACGAAUUAACAGAACUUUUGUGAUCAUCAGCUAGGAAGCUGCAAAAGAAUGCUUUACAACACAAGACAGGGUAUUCUCAACUCAUCCAAAAUCUCUAGUUGGUGAAGUAGUAGGAAACAGCAGGAAACUUAUGAUCUUUCAACCAUAUGGAUCCUACUGGCUCGAGAUACUUAAGCUUGCAAUGGCUUAUAUCCAUUCUUCGUCUGUAAUUGCUCAAACAUGUUCGCGAGUGAAGUUAAUCUUUUCAUCAAGGGGCUAUAUUUGCAAUGGACUAGAAAUCGAAGUGAAAGCAAAGUUGUUGUGGAAAUGAAGAAAAGGUUUGGAGACUUGACAACAGACAUGGCGGUGAGGACAGUGAUAGCUGGUAAGAGAUAUUCUGGUACUGGAGUCCAAAAUGAUGAGGAAUCAAGGCGAUUACAGGAGGCUAAGGGUCAGAUGAAAAAGACAGCUGACAGAGAUCGAUGAUAUAUACUUGAUAAAUGAGUGGAGGAUCAUCUGCAGAUAAAAGAAAUUCUGCGCAUUGAUCAUUUGGAAGAAAACUUUAUUAAUGUAAUGUUGUCUGCCAUGGAUGGUGAGUAGUGUACAAAUGAGAUUGAACGCGACACUGCCAUCAAUUGGGCUUGUUUGGUAAGUUAUGCAAGAUUCUUUGGUAUUAGAAUCUAUAGUUUAUACAAUAUGGACCUGUGUUUAUAGUUACAGAGUGAUGCUUAGACAGAUCUAGUGCGAUCAUGAACUAGAUCAUGCAUCUUGCAACUUCUAGUGUUUCCAAAUUUAUCUUGCAACUAGAUUAUGAACUAGAUUUCUCGGCUUUGGAUCUCCCUCCACUCUUGUUCAGACGUCUUUGAGCGUAACAAACACCCAAGUGCCUUUAUUGCCAGAGGUAGUCCACCAUGAUUCUUCAUCUCCAAAUGCUAUUUUCCUGAACAGUUCAUAAAUCAUAACUAUCAUGCUCAUGUAAUUUUUUGACUCGACAGGGAACACAAUUUUGCAUGGCAUCAUAACAUUCUGGCUACCAGUUGUUACUAUACCAGUGCUUCCUUUUGGCAUCACCAACUCCUAGUACAUAGUUUCCCAGUUCCUCCCACUUCACUGAGUCCUCGUACCAGCAUCUAGUACAAGUAAAAACUUUUUUCACUUUAAUUCAAAGACUUAGAACUUAGAUGAAAAGAAUGAGUCAAUUCAAUGAGGCCGUUUAGUCAUGAUUCCUGGUGAGCCUCUACCCAACACGUUCAAUUAAUAAUGCAACACUGAUAUAUUUGAUUUUGCUUUAUGGCACACUGGCUCUCACCAAAUUAAACACAAUUCAUUAUGAGAAUAAGGAACAUGAUAUAUAUUUGACGUGAUUUUCCUCACAUAGUGAAAUAACUGUGCUUUGAUCAGCUGCACCAAUUGUUGCACUCCAUGAAGCAUCAGAAGAUUGCACCGUGGCAGGCUUCCACAUUUCAGCUGGCACGCGCUUAUUUGUAAACCUCCGGAAGUUGCAGCGUGACCCUUGCAUUUGGUCUGGUCCUCAAGAGUUCCAACCUGAGAGGUUCAUUGAGAAACAUAUUGAUGUUGAAAUGUGGGGAAGAAUUUUGAACUGAUACCAUUUGGUUCCGGAAGGAGGAGAUGCCCUGGCUCCACACUUGCACUCCAAGUUCUCUACUUGACACGGGCUAGGUUGCUUCAUGGCUUUGAGCUAGGAACUGUUUCAGACUUGCUCGUCGAUAUGACUGAUAGUCCAGGACUUACUAACUUAAAAAAAUGUAAUAUUAGCAGCAGCGACUCUAUUUGUUGUACGUGAUAAAGUAGACCAAGUGAUUGAUAGAUCAUCUGCUGAAACUGAAGUGUUCAAAUUGGUAACGGGCUAAAUGGCGUUUUGGUCACUCAACUGAUCAAAAACUUGCAAUUGGGUCAUCCAAUUCAAAAAGCUUUCAGUCUCAUCUGUAUACUCUUAAAAAUUUUCAUUCAGGUCACUGGCCGUUAC